AUUACUGGGCUUAAAGAGUUCGUAGGUGGUUGAAAAAGUUGGUGGUGAAAUCCCAGAGCUUAACUCUGGAACUGCCAUCAAAACUUUUCAGCUAGAGUUUGAUAGAGGAAAGCAGAAUUUCUAGUGUAGAGGUGAAAUUCGUAGAUAUUAGAAAGAAUACCAAUUGCGAAGGCAGCUUUCUGGAUCAUUACUGACACUGAGGAACGAAAGCAUGGGUAGCGAAGAGGAUUAGAUACCCUCGUAGUCCAUGCCGUAAACGAUGUGUGUUAGACGUUGGAAAUUUAUUUUCAGUGUCGCAGCGAAAGCGAUAAACACACCGCCUGGGGAGUACGACCGCAAGGUUAAAACUCAAAUGAAUUGACGGGGACCCGCACAAGUAGUGGAGCAUGUGGUUUAAUUCGAAGAUACGCGCAGAACCUUACCAACACUUGACAUGUUCGUCGCGACUUUAAGAGAUUAAAGUUUUCGGUUCGGCCGGACGAAACACAGGUGCUGCAUGGCUGUCGUCAGCUCGUGUCGUGAGAUGUUGGGUUAAGUCCCGCAACGAGCGCAACCCUCACUUUUAGUUGCCAUCAUUAAGUUGGGCACUCUGAAAGAACUGCCAGUGAUAAGCUGGAGGAAGGUGGGGAUGACGUCAAGUCCUCAUGGCCCUUACGUGUUGGGCUACACACGUGCUACAAUGGUAUCUACAACAGGAAGCGAGACAGCGAUGUUGAGCAAAUCCUCAAAAGAUACCUCAGUUCGGAUUGCACUCUGCAACUCGAGUGCAUGAAGCUGGAAUUACUAGUAAUCGUGGAUCAGCGUGCCACGGUGAAUGCGUUCCCGGGUCUUGUACACACCGCCCGUCACACCAUGGGAGUUGGUUCU
rnacentral:rRNA from 1 species